rnacentral:rRNA from 1 species
UCGGGUGCGUUAAUGGGCGUCGAGCGGCGGACGGGUGAGUAAUGCCUAGGAAAUUGCCUUGAUGUGGGGGAUAACCAUUGGAAACGAUGGCUAAUACCGCAUAAUGCCUACGGGCCAAAGAGGGGGACCUUCGGGCCUCUCGCGUCAAGAUAUGCCUAGGUGGGAUUAGCUAGUUGGUGAGGUAAUGGCUCACCAAGGCGACGAUCCCUAGCUGGUCUGAGAGGAUGAUCAGCCACACUGGAACUGAGACACGGUCCAGACUCCUACGGGAGGCAGCAGUGGGGAAUAUUGCACAAUGGGCGAAAGCCUGAUGCAGCCAUGCCGCGUGUAUGAAGAAGGCCUUCGGGUUGUAAAGUACUUUCAGUUGUGAGGAAGGGUGUGUAGUUAAUAGCUGCGCAUCUUGACGUUAGCAACAGAAGAAGCACCGGCUAACUCCGUGCCAGCAGCCGCGGUAAUACGGAGGGUGCGAGCGUUAAUCGGAAUUACUGGGCGUAAAGCGCAUGCAGGUGGUUCAUUAAGUCAGAUGUGAAAGCCCGGGGCUCAACCUCGGAACUGCAUUUGAAACUGGUGAACUAGAGUGCUGUAGAGGGGGGUAGAAUUUCAGGUGUAGCGGUGAAAUGCGUAGAGAUCUGAAGGAAUACCAGUGGCGA